CUCCAGCGACCAUACCAUUUAGAGCCACUCACAUACUUUGGCGGGACAGCACGCGAGGCAGCUGGAAAGAAAAUAUGAGGCAGAGAAGAAAUGAUACUGACUCUGUGAGGAAUUUGGUGGGAAGAGCAACCCCAUGGCACUAAGGUGCUUCACAGAAUAGGACAUACCAUCAUCUCCGUAUAAUCUCAGACUCACUCAUCACAAUGAAGAGGCUGGACAGUGUGAUCAAGAAUCACUUUCAACUUUAAAAUUAUUUUCAGUAAUACAAUGUCAAGAAUUGUUUUUCUAAGUAUAUGCACCCCUAUGUUUAUUGCAAUAAACAUAGCAAAGAUAUGGAAGCAGCCCAAGUGUCCAUCAAUAGAUGGAUGGAUAAGGAAAAUGUGGUAUAGAUAAUAAAAAAGGAAUAGCUCAGUCAUAAGAAAGGAUGAGAUCUUGCCAUCUGUGACAACAUGGAUGGACCUAGAGGGUAUUAUGUUAAGUGAAGUAAGUCAACAGAAAGCAAAUGCCAUCUGAUUUCACUUGGGAUCUAAAAAAUAGAAUCUAAAAAAUAAAACAAAUGAAUGAACAAACAAAAAGGCAAAAACAGACCCAUAAAUACAGAAAACAUGGUUGCCAGAGGGGAGGGUAGUGGGAGUACUGGCAAAAUGAAUGCAAGGAAGUGGGAGAUAUAAGCUUCCAGUUAAGGAAUGAAUAAGUCACGAGGAUAAAAGGAACAGCAUAGGGAAUAUAAUCAAUGACACUGUAAUGGCAUUGUAUGGUGGCAGAUGGCAGCUACACUUGUGGUGAGCAUGAGAUAACAUAUAGACUUAUCCAAUCUCUAUGUUGU